GACGUAGGGCGCGAGCGUUGUCCGGAUUUAUUGGGCGUAAAGAGCUCGUAGGCGGCUUGUUGCGUCGGCUGUGAAAACCCAUGGCUCAACCGUGGGCUUGCAGCCGAUACGGGCAGGCUAGAGUUCGGUAGGGGAGACUGGAAUUCCUGGUGUAGCGGUGAAAUGCGCAGAUAUCAGGAGGAACACCGGUGGCGAAGGCGGGUCUCUGGACAGUUCCUGACACUGAGACACGAAGGCCAGGGGAGCAAACGGG
rnacentral:rRNA from 1 species